UUCCUUGCAGAAUUUAGAAGGGCCAAUAAAAAGGAGGUCAUGUCAAGCAGAGUGGCCAUUUUGGAGCGGCCAUUGUCGGAGUGGACAGAGUGAGUGGCUUUGGCACAAUAGGCUUCGGUAUCAAGAGGCGGAGGCCAUCUGCAACAACACUGUCUCUCGGUCUUUACGGUCAUUUCUGCACCAGUAUGGUUAAAAUGAAGAAAACCACAUUGAUCUCAAAAAGUUUCUGUUAUCAAGUUGAUCAAAUCUGACGUUACUCACCCCUGCCCAACUCUACAGUCACGCCAAGGUCCCACAAGAAGAUUCUGUUCAUGAAUAGAGCGAAAC